GGCUGGGCCCAGUGCAGUAAUGUUUAUAACCAGUUACAGAUUUCUUUGUUUCUUCUCCACUAUCACUGUUUCACUUGACUAGCCUUAA
ensembl:Y_RNA Y_RNA Y RNA